rnacentral:tRNA from 1 species
UCCCAGGUGGCUCAGUGGGAGAACCCGCCUGCCAAGCAGGAGAUGCAGGUUCUAUCCCUGAGCUGGGAA